rnacentral:rRNA from 1 species
AUGAAAGAGAGGAGAUGGCCUAGGAACCCCAAGUGUUCCUUUUGUAAUGAGGUUGAGUCAUCCCGACAUUUGUUUUUCACCUGUCCUGUGGCUAGAGUGGUUUGGAGAUGUAUUGGGGUGGCACUGGGGACUGAUCUGUGCCCGAAUAGUUACUGGCAGUAUUUUUCCUGGUGCCACAUUUUCCUCCCUGCUGGAGGGAAAUAUUAUACCGUGGGCCCCGCUCCCAUUUGCUGGGCUAUCUGGCUUGCUCAGAAUCGAGCCACAUUCGAGAAAAAACAGAUCAAAACACCAUUUGAGAUUAUUUUCUCCGUGUGUUCCUUUUUGCUGUAUUGGGCAGGUUUGCAACAAGGAGAAGGGGUCAAGGAGCUGCGAAGCGGGGCGGAGAUGGUCAGGUCGAGCACGAUGCGUCUGAUGAAGAUGUGCGAGACGGUGAGAAGACCAAUCGAGGGAGAAUGA